rnacentral:sRNA from 1 species
GCCGGGCAUGGUGGUGCAUGCCUGUAAUCCCAGCUACUUGGGAGGCUGAGGCAGGAGAAUCGCUUGAACUCAGGAGGCAGAGGUUGCAGUGAGCUGAGAUCGUGCCACUGCACUCCAACCUGGGUGACAGAGUGAGACUCAAUCUCAA